CGACCGCUGGCGGCGUGCUUAACACAUGCCAGUCGAACGGCAAGGCCCUGCUUUUGUGGGGUGCUCGAGUGGCGAACGGGUGAGUAACACGUGAGUAACCUGCCCUUGACUUUGGGAUAACUUCAGGAAACUGGGGCUAAUACCGGAUAGGAGCUCCUGCUGCAUGGUGGGGGUUGGAAAGUUUCGGCGGUUGGGGAUGGACUCGCGGCUUAUCAGCUUGUUGGUGGGGUAGUGGCUUACCAAGGCUUUGACGGGUAGCCGGCCUGAGAGGGUGACCGGCCACAUUGGGACUGAGAUACGGCCCAGACUCCUACGGGAGGCAGCAGUGGGGAAUAUUGCACAAUGGGCGGAAGCCUGAUGCAGCAACGCCGCGUGCGGGAUGACGGCCUUCGGGUUGUAAACCGCUUUCGCCUGUGACGAAGCGUGAGUGACGGUAAUGGGUAAAGAAGCACCGGCUAACUACGUG
rnacentral:rRNA from 1 species